UCACACAGCUCCUUUAAAAAAGAAAACAAUCUCCCCUAGCGGAUAAUUAUCUACCCUCCCUAAACUGUGGGCCUUCAAGCAGCCACCAACAAAGAGUGCGUCAUAGCUCUACAAUCAAAAAUCCAGCAAUAAAAUGACUCCCUUCUCACUAACAGGCCAACCUAUACUGAUAGGAGAAUCAAUGCUAAAAUGAGUAACUAGGGAUUCCCCUCUUAAGCGUAAACUUACAUCCACACAUUAUUAACAGAUUACAAACCAAUAUCCUAACUCCAACAAGAUUAAAAUAUUGAGUCCCACCCUGUUAACCCAACUCAGGUACGCCCAUUAGAAAGAUUAAAAUCUGUAAAAGGAACUAGGCAAACUCAAGGCCCGACUGUUUACCAAAAACAUAGCCUUCAGCCAACCAAGUAUUGAAGGUGAUGCCUGCCCAGUGACAUAACGUUUAACGGCCGCGGUAUCCUAACCGUGCGAAGGUAGCGCAAUCAAUUGUCCCAUAAAUCGAGACUUGUAUGAAUGGCUAAACGAGGUCUUAACUGUCUCUUACAGAUAAUCAGUGAAAUUGAUCCCCCUGUCCAAAAGCAGGAAUACUCUCAUAAGACGAGAAGACCCUGUGGAACUUAAAAAUCAACAGCCACUGCUUACAAACCAAAACCUAACAGGCUUACUACCUUAUAAUAUUGGCUGAUAUUUUUCGGUUGGGGCGACCUUGGAGAAAAACAAAUCCUCCAAAAAUAAGACCACACUUCUUAACCAAGAGCAACUCCUCAACGUACUAAUAGUAACCAGACCCAAUAUAAUUGAUAAAUGGACCAAGCUACCCCAGGGAUAACAGCGCAAUCUCCUCUAAGAGCCCACAUCGACGAGGAGGUUUACGACCUCGAUG
rnacentral:rRNA from 1 species